GCUUGAGAGAAACAAAAAGUCAUGAGUCUGGGAAAAUGGCUGAAGAUUCCCGAAGACCCCUCCCCAGCUUUCGAGGAGUGGUGAACUGCUGGGUGAGGCCUCUGAGCAGCCCAGCUGCAGGGAGGGGAUUCUCUGACUGUGGAGCUGCUACAACUUCUGCCAACCAUCAACAUGCUGGGAUGACUGGACUUCUGACUCCAACACCUACACUGAUUGUCUUACAGCCACCUGUGAUCUCCUAAACUCAUAGCACCAAGAAACACAGCAAACAAACCUGAAUGAAGAUACAGCCUAGCCUCACCACCAGCACUCCUCAGCCUAUAUCACUGAUGUUCACUUUGCUUAGAUGGCAGACGUAAGCCUCUAUUUAUCAUCACCAGAUUCAUCAGCUAAUUAAGGACAAUGAACACCUUUGCUGAAAUAAUUGGAAGCAGUUACAUCCUGCAGAAAUUUGCCUCCCUGUAGGGUGAAGCCUGAACAAGAUGGCUGUUACAUGAACAACUUUAGGUGUAUUUGAUGCAUGGCUCCAGAGUCUGAGUCUAUAAUGAGCAAUAAGGCAUGGAAUCAGGUGGCCCUGGCAUGACAUCAUUGAAGCUGGCCAAUCACAUUUUAUCUGCACAGAGGUAAGACUAUAAACCUUCUAAACCUGCCUCUAGUGAUGUAAUCCCUCUCUCAAGACCCCAACUUCUAAAAGUUCCAUAACUUCCUUCAAACGGUGCCACCUCCUGGUGACUGAGUGUCCACUUAUAUGAUCCUAUGGAGGAAGACAUUCCUUCUCAAAUGGCCACCUCAGAUAGUGAAUUUCAUUCGACAUCAGCCCAGCUCUACUCCUACCAUGGAAUGGUCAUAGAGGAGCCUGAGCAGGGACAAGGGGACAGAAAGAGAAUCUGUACAGACUCUGUGUUGGGGCUGGCAACAUGGCUUAGUUGGAUAAAGACAUGUGUUUUCAAGCCUGAUGACCUGAGUUCAAUUCCCUGCACCCACAUAGGGGAAGGAAAGAGCCAACUACUGUGAGUUGUCCUCUGACCUCCAAAUUCACGCAUUCAGUAUGGAUGCAGCCAUGCUCCCACAACCUCACAGUGAGUAGGUAAAUGUAAAAAAGAAAAUUUAAAAGGAGAUCAUGUGGUAGAAUCUUAUCACAGGCUGUCAUGACUUAUAGAAUUGAAAUUUCCAUUGUUACUCUUGAUUAUUUUCUAACUUUAAUUUCAUACAUUCUUCAAAUUUAGUUUUUGACAGAACUUUCCACUAUAAGACUGAGGGGAAAAAAGAAUGUGUCUUCAAGAAUUUCACCAAGGACAGGGAGUUUAUGGUCAACUACCAGUAAGAAGGAGAUGAGAGGAAAUGAGCAAAACUUAAUCUCAUAUUAUGAUUUGUGUCUUCUGUAAUUUAAAUAAUUCUCUAAGUUCUCUGAUUUCUUAAGCCUGUGAAAUCACACUGUGAAUUUGUGAUAGUAAUUAUUUAUAGCAAGGAUUUUAAUAUUCUUCAUCUUGAAAAACAGAAAAAAAGUUGAACCAAGAAGUCUAGCUAGUGGCACAAAAUAAUACUGUAAUUAUGCACUAUGCACAAAACAUCAAAUCCAUGAUAACAGUUUUGCACACUGCAUGCUGGCUGCUUAGAUGCAACAGGCAUCACACAAUAGGCAGCAGUGUGCACAGGCAGAGUACACAGGCAGCCAGGCCAUGGGAGGAGCAGGCAGGGUGGAAGAGCUCACACAUUUAGGAAAGAAAACAUGUUUCCCUGGGGCACAUGCAAUUCAAGAAUAAUGCAUGAGUAAGUAUGAGUGCUGGGGUUACUAAGAACACGCAAGAAAAACCUCUUCUCUUUCCUAUUGUUCUUUUCCUUUUUUUCUUUAAGGCUAUUCUGUUUUAUUACAUUUUAUUUUUUUUUAAAAUAUGCCCUGAAAUUAUUAAAUACUUUGUGGACAAAUGACACUGCUUCUCAUUUCAUGUCAAGGAUGUCUAGUUUCUGAUUUCUGGGGGGACAUUCCUAAGCCCCCAUAUACCUGACCCUAAUUUACUAAGUGUUAUCAGGGUAGUGAACCAACUGCCCCAAAUCAGGUGUCAUCUUCCAUUAGUAGACAUUUUUGUGCACAUGUAAAUCAGGUUUGUAAUAACAUAGUACCUCCAUUUCUCUCUGCAGCCACAGUCUCUCUGUUAAUGCCAUUUCUGCCUCUGAAUUGUCCUUGAACAUUUUGUACCUUAACAUUUUGUAUUUUAACUUAAUGUGGAAGCCAGUUUUGUGUUUGACUUAUCAGACACAUUCCCACUGCACACUCGACUCCGAAGAGAAUGUGACGCUGUUUUCCAUAAGUAAGUUAUUAUUAAAAGUGGAAAAUUUUCUUGAGUAGCCUACAUGGUGGGAAGAAGGACAAGGAUGGGGAGUGAACAGCAACCUCUCAUGAGUCAGUGCUGAAGGGAAUCUUUUGAAAGGAAAGGGCCAGAAAACAGGGAUUUAAGCCAUGCUGCCUAGGGGGAAUUUCGGUAGUUCAAAUAAUAUUUUUUUUGGCCUCGCCUACUUUCCUAUUAUCUUAAACUAG